GGGGGGGGGGGGGGGGGGGGGGGGGGGGGGGGGGGGGAGGGGGGGGGCGGGGGGGUGGGGGGUGCGCGGGGGGCGGGGGGGGGGGGAGGACGGGGGUGACCUGCCCUUGACUUGGGGGUGACUUCUGGGGGCUGGGGCUGAUACCGGCUGGGAGCUCCUGCUGCCUGGUGGGGGUUGGGAAGUUUCGGCGGUUGGGGAUGGACUCGCGGCUUAUCGGCUUGUUGGUGGGGUAGGGGCUUACCAAGGCUUUGACGGGUAGCCGGCCUGAGAGGGUGAACGGCCACAUUGGGACUGAGAUACGGCCCAGACGCCUACGGGAGGCAGCAGGGGGGAAUAUGGCAGAAUGGGCGGAAGCCUGAUGCAGCAACGCCGCGUGCGGGAUGACGGCCUUCGGGUUGUAAACCGCUGUCGCCGGUGACGAAGCGUGAGUGACGGUAAUGGGUAAAGAAGCACCGGCUAACUACGUG
rnacentral:rRNA from 1 species